UGGGGAAUAUUGCACAAUGGGCGCAAGCCUGAUGCAGCAAUGCCGCGUGAGUGAAGACGGCCUUAGGGUUGUAAAACUCUUUCGCUAGGGAAGAUAAUGACGGUACCUAGUAAAGAAGUCCCGGCUAACUCCGUGCCAGCAGCCGCGGUAAUACGGAGGGGGUUAGCGUUGUUCGGAAUUACUGGGCGUAAAGCGCACGUAGGCGGACCAGAAAGUUGGGGGUGAAAUCCCGGGGGCUCAACCCCGGAACUGCCUCCAAAACUAUUGGUCUAGAGUUCGAGAGAGGUGAGUGGAAUUCCAAGUGUAGAGGUGAAAUUCGUAGAUAUUUGGAGGAACACCAGUGGCGAAGGCGGCUCACUGGCUCGAUACUGACGCUGAGGUGCGAAAGUGUGGGGAGCAAACAGGAUUAGAUACCCUGGGUAGUCCACACCGUAAAACGAUGAAUGCCAGUCGUCGGGUAGCAUGCUAUUCGGUGACACA
rnacentral:rRNA from 1 species